rnacentral:rRNA from 1 species
AUUGAACGCUGGCGGCAUGCCUUACACAUGCAAGUCGAACGGCAGCACGGGUGCUUGCACCUGGUGGCGAGUGGCGAACGGGUGAGUAAUACAUCGGAACAUGUCCUGUAGUGGGGGAUAGCCCGGCGAAAGCCGGAUUAAUACCGCAUACGAUCUACGGAUGAAAGCGGGGGACCUUCGGGCCUCGCGCUAUAGGGUUGGCCGAUGGCUGAUUAGCUAGUUGGUGGGGUAAAGGCCUACCAAGGCGACGAUCAGUAGCUGGUCUGAGAGGACGACCAGCCACACUGGGACUGAGACACGGCCCAGACUCCUACGGGAGGCAGCAGUGGGGAAUUUUGGACAAUGGGCGAAAGCCUGAUCCAGCAAUGCCGCGUGUGUGAAGAAGGCCUUCGGGUUGUAAAGCACUUUUGGCCGGAAAGAAAUCCUUGGCUCUAAUACAGUCGGGGGAUGACGGUACCGGAAGAAUAAGCACCGGCUAACUACGUG